rnacentral:rRNA from 1 species
AUUGAACGCUGGCGGCAGGCUUAACACAUGCAAGUAGAACGAGUGGCGGACGGGUGAGUAAUGAUUGGGAAUCUGGCUUAUGGAGGGGGAUAACGACGGGAAACUGUGGCUAAUACCGCGUACCAUAGGAUGAGCCCACGUUGGAUUAGGUAGUUGGUGGGGUAAUGGCCUACCAAGCUGACGAUCUCUAGCUGGUCUGGAAGGAGGCCCAUCCACACCGUGACUGAGAGACGGCCCGGACUCGUACGGGCGGCAGCAGUGUGGUAUAUUGCGCAAUGGGUUCAACCUGGACCCAGCCAUGCCGCGUGAAGGAAGGAGGCCUGCGGGUUGUAAAGUUUUUUCGGUAUUGAAGCGUUAAAUACAGAAGAAGCACCGGCUAACUCCGUGCCAGCAGCCGCGGUAAUUC